GUAGGGGGCAAGCGUUGCUCGGAAUUACUGGGCGUAAAGGGAGUGCAGGCGGCCGGUUAAGUCAAAGAUGAAAUCCCGAAGCUUAACUUCGGAACGGUCUUUGAUACUGAUCGGCUUGAGGCUGGUUGAGGCGAGCAGAAUUCCCGGUGGAGCGGUGAAAUGCGUAGAUAUCGGGAGGAAUACCAGAGGCGAAGGCGGCUCGCUAAGCUAGUCCUGACGCUGAGACUCGAAAGCUAGGGGAGCAAACGGGAUUAGAUACCCCGGUAGUCCUAGCCGUAAACGAUGGGCACUAGCUAGAGGUCUCCCUGUGGGAUCCCUGGCGAAGCAAAUGUGAUAAGUGCCCCGCCUGGGGAGUACGGUCGCAAGGCUG
rnacentral:rRNA from 1 species